CCAACUGCUUCUGUAUAAUGUUAACAGCUCAUUUAGUAUUCUAAUUAACAAUUGCAGGUUAAUUAAUUACAGUGGUUUAGUUUAUGUAUCCACUGUAAAAAUAUUGAAGCUUGAGUGAAUGGGAACUGGUUUUAAACUCAGAGGUACAGCUUGUCCUUUUUUCUGUACUGCUAGUAACCCCACAGGUCUUGGCAGAAAACAACUUCAUAUCUUUCCAGGCUUGACUACAAACAAAACUGACGAUAGGAGAAACCCCCCAUAUCAUAUUUCAUAUAUACCAUAGAAUGCUUUUCAUUUCACCAACAUGUAAAUUUCAUUUAUCUUAGCUGGAAUUUGUCGCUUUUCCUGCCCGACGUUGUCUGAAAUGCCCUUUCUUUGAAGGCUGAAGCUAAUAGCUACGGUAACGUAUCAAGUUUAGGAUUGUCUUGCCAGGUUCGGACAAGUUAUACUGUCCAAGUCCAAUUCGGCCCAAUAUGACUUGUCAUGUGGAUUUUUGAAUUAGGAUCUGGCCCAUGAUGUACAGUUUGUCCACUACCGUCUUUCAAUCCCCCUCCUUCUCCACAACCAAAACCACCAAAAGCCCGAAAGCAACGGCCUAAAAGAAAAAAAAAGAAAAAAAAAAAGCAGCUCGUUCCAAUGGCGGCGAAGAAACAGGAGAGCAGCAAAUUGAAGAAGAAAAAGCAAUACCCAGGUGCGAAGAUUGGCGCUGGUGGCUCAGCUUCCAAAAAGCUUAAUCUUGUUACGUGAUGCCAAAGACUGAGCAUGGAAAAAAGAUCCUUCUUUAAGAAGACAAGAACUGUUCGUCGGCGAUGGCCUUGCUGAGAAUCUUAUUGACGUAUAUAUUGAGAAAUGAGAAUGUAGGGGAGUUGCUAAGUUGGCAAUGAGGUAUUGGAUGAGGUAAGUCCAUUUGCUUACCGCUUCUGAUAUUUUCUUCAAGGAAAGUUGGGUUCCUCUUAAUCGAAUGCACAGUUUUAGGAAACUUUGAAUUCAACGAGUCCUCAAUAUCUAUUAUGUUAUUAGUCAGUUGUAUUGCUCUGGAUUUUAUCUGCACUCUAUGCAGUGGAUUAUCUUUGUGGAUAAUCUACUUUGACCUGUCAAAUCAUUACGUAGGAUUUCUAUUUGGUAAUGGAUACAGGUCGCAACUGGGUCUGGGUGUGCUGGAGGCCUUCUCCACCCAAUGUUGGAUGACGAGCUGAACGCUUUGCCUGAAACUCUAGCAUCUCUUGCAGCAGAGCCUAAAUCUGAAGAAUCUGAACGCAGUCCUAGAAAAUUUCCAGUCUGGUCGAACCAUUGGAAAAUUAAUCAUGGAUACCACUAAUAGUUUAUGGAUGAAGCCUUUGAAAGGCAAAUGUCUGUAUGGGCCCAAGGUUACAGAUUAGCUUCCUUCUGAUGUUAGUCCCUUCAUUCAGUGUCUGGUUCUUAGCCUACAUCUGAUGUUAACCCCUUUGCUCUUAUCCUGCAGUUCUAAAGUAAUAUGUGCACUCUUGGAGUCCUCGGAUGCCAAAAUAUGUAAACUAGCCAAUGAGUUGCUUCAGCCUUUGGUACAAAGUGACCAGGAAAAGAAACGCGAGUUUCUAAAUGAUUUUUUGCUCGACUAGAUGGCCUUGGCAUCUGAUGGAUCACUUGUUGAAUUUAAGUAAAUUUGUUUUUCAUCUCAGCUAAUGAUGUCAUAUAGAAAUUUGUUGUAUUACAAGAAAAAGGGGGCAGAGCUUUUCAAGCUGAAAUGAACUUGUGCAGAAGAUGAAUGGGUGGAGUAAGCUGCAAAAGUGAGACGAUCAACAUUUUUGUACAAAAAAAAUUCUACAACAGUUUCAGGUCUCUAGCACCGAGACCUCUUUUAAGGCUCGAUAUCGUCCUAGUUAUAAAAUCAUGAAAGCAUCUGAACAAUAUUUGGUUCUCUGGUCAUACUAUGCUACCGACAAUUAGAAAUGAUAUAAAUAUGGAAGAGUUUUCCCUUGACAUGCGUCACAAAAGUCUCAUGGAACACUUUGUUCUGGUUUAUGAAUGGACACAAGUAGGUUUGGUCUUAAACAUUGCUCCUUGUGGUCUGUUCUCAAGGAUUGGAGAAUCAUAUAUUGCUGUUUGUUUGCCAUAGUUGGAUGAAUUUUAUGUCUAUGAAUACUACACAUCCUCAGUUUUCUUGUACAUUCGGUUCCUGGUGUGAGGGUAGCCUUCAAAUAGAUAGGCUGAUGGAUCAAAAAUUGGGGAUUCUCUUCGGGACCUGAACCUAGUAUUGCUCUCACAUAAGUGGUCAGAUGUAUUGAACAGCGGGGUUCCUUUCCUUAACGCGGCAUUAGCCUUCAGACAGUUCUCCAUCACCUUGGUUUCCUCUUUGAAUCUUUCUCUGAUGUCUUUCAGACCUUGCAGAAUUCUGCUUGAUGUUGAGUAGUUUGCAGGAUUCGAUUCCUGGAGUUUUGAUGUAUUGUAUAAGUUGCUGGAGGAAUUGCAGCGCAUGUAUGGGACUCUAUUGCACUCAUUGCACAAGUGUUUCCAUCUCUCCAAGUUGAAGGCUCGCCUCUUUGCAUUGUCAGAAAGACACGAAUAAGCCUGCAAGUAAUUAAGAUUCUAACUGAGAAAGCAAGAAAACAGCAUAACAAAAAUGAGUAACAGAACAAUUUUUAGUUUGAUGAAGAUGAGUUGCUAAAUGCAAAUUAAUGCACCCCUACCUAACGUGCAGAUGUCGUCGGUGAAAAUUUAGCUGUCUAAAAGGGUUUUCUGCCGUUCAGAUAAAUGCUGUGUUCCAUAAUUAUGGUCCUAUCACGAGAGGGAAUCCUUUCUAGUACAUGCUAUGUUAGCCAUUUAAUGAGUUAGAAUAAUGCACUGCAUUUGCAUGACACUUUUUACUUUACAGGCUUCUUUCAACGGCCAAGACAUGACUCGGUAUCUUAUGGAGGUUUCACCUACCAUCUUGCAAUUAUUCUAAAACUUCAGUUGGAUUGAAAUUUCAGCUUAAUUAAACUUGAGGAUUUUAAGUUUAAACAGCAGAUGAAGAAGUUAUUUCUUCUGUA